rnacentral:lncRNA from 1 species
UACCCAGAGAAAUAUCAAAGCAGUAGUACCCCCCUUCAGUGUGAAUACAUAAUUUCUCCACGCUGCCAUCUUAUACCAACUAGAAAAUGACAUCACAAAAAUCAAGACAUUCAAAGCCAGAUUUUUUGCACAGGGGAUAUUACUACUGCCCAUGGUCAAGAUUAUUGGAUUUCAGAGCUCAACACCAUAUGAGGUUUAUAAAAUAACAAUACCAAAUAUGAUAUCGAAAUUCAGUGUCCAGAUAUGAUUCAGACCAUCUAAAAUCUAACGUCAUUUAGCAUUUUUAGCUUCAGCACAAGAAUAAUAAGAUAUCUCUGCACUUAGAACUAGAUUAUAUAGUUAAAAUCUUCAACUUCGUGCUUGAUAUUCUAAAAAUUUCUCCCCUAAAAUUCUGAAUGCUAACAUAGGUCUUCUAACGUUUGAAGAGACUACAUGGAAUUUGUGCUUUAGUUCAACCUUCGUUUUCUCCAAAAUGGACCACAUUAUUCAAUCAGAGGGUUCAGUAUCAUCCUUUCUAUAACUCUGACAGCGAU